rnacentral:rRNA from 1 species
CCUACGGGUGGCAGCAGUGGGGAAUAUUGGACAAUGGGCGAAAGCCUGAUCCAGCCAUGCCGCGUGUGUGAAGAAGGCCUUCGGGUUGUAAAGCACUUUCAGUGGGGAAGAAAGCCUUGGGGCUAAUACCCUCGAGGAAGGACAUCACCCACAGAAGAAGCACCGGCUAACUCCGUGCCAGCAGCCGCGGUAAUACGGAGGGUGCGAGCGUUAAUCGGAAUUACUGGGCGUAAAGCGCGCGUAGGCGGUCUGAUAAGCCGGUUGUGAAAGCCCCGGGCUCAACCUGGGAACGGCAUCCGGAACUGUCAGGCUAGAGUGCAGGAGAGGAAGGUAGAAUUCCCGGUGUAGCGGUGAAAUGCGUAGAGAUCGGGAGGAAUACCAGUGGCGAAGGCGGCCUUCUGGACUGACACUGACGCUGAGGUGCGAAAGCGUGGGUAGCAAACAGGAUUAGAUACUCCUGUAGUC